ACUUACGGCCAUACCACCCUGAGAACGCCCUAUCUCGUAAGCUAAGCAGGAUCGGGCCUGGUUAGUACAUGGAUGGGGGACCGCCUGGGAAUACCAGGUGCUGUAAGCU
rnacentral:rRNA from 1 species